CCUUCCCCUGGGCUCUCUCCUCCCCUCCCACUCUUCCUCGUCUUCUGCAUAGGCAGGCCUUCCCUGCUCGGUUCUCUCUGGCUUAGCGCGCGACCCCGUCCUCCCCAGCGUCGCCUCGUCCGUGCUGUUGUUUGCCUGCCGCACCUGCGCCGCGAUCGACGCACGACAACCUCGUCUACGCCGCUGGCUCCCUGGCUCGGACCGCAGCCACAUCCUCCCCACUGCCGCGUCUGCUUCAUCGCCGGCCGCACGCACCUGCGCCGUAACUUCUCACGUCCGCACUGACGUCUGUCUCCCCCGCUGGUCGCUGCCACAUAGCGAGCGCCUCCACAGGCGGAGGACUCCUCGGCCAUCACGAGGAUUGCGGUAUUACCUCACCGUAGUCGCGCUGCUGAAAUCAUCCCGUGCCUAGGGCUGCGAUCUUCUGCCGACGGCGACCUCCUCCAAAUCAGCAAGACUAGAUAAUAGUAAAAGGUUCGAAUUUUACAAAGAGGGAAUAUUGCAGCAACCACCAAAGGAAAAGAUGUCAUCUUUGAAUCAGAAUGACGAUCGUACUCCAUUCAGAGACAUAUCCAACACCACCAGCACAAAUGGGCUAAACAGUAUAGAUCCUAGAGAACGUAAGAGGCAAAUGGCAAGGGUCCGGUAUGCGCAAAUGUCUGUCGAAGAAAAAGAUGAAUUACUAAAAAGGCGUUGUGAAGCGUAUCACAGGAAAAAAGCUGAAGCCGCCCUUGUAAAUGUUGAACUACAAUGCCCAACAAGGAAAACAUGGCCCCAGAUGAAAAUUCUGGUUGGUUGCACAUAAGUGAUAUGUACGAGAGGCAAAAAAUCCCUGUGCCAAAUCAGGGUCAAGAUAGUGCCAUGACCAGUACUCAGGCUACAAAUUUCUCUAUUCAAUUAUUCAAUUGCUAGUUACUGUGAAUAGUUAUCAGCUACCAUUAUUUUGUUCCUUUUGUUGAGUGCAUUGGAUAUAUUUGUUUUGCUAUGACUUCCCUAAUCAAUAUGAUAUCUGUUUGAUUGUUUUAGAAUUUAUCAUAUCUAUAGAACAUGCUGAGAUUUUGGAGUAUGUCUAUCUAAUUCCAUAUAAUAUGUAUUGUUUAUAUACAUUAUUCUAAUUUAUUAUUGAACCUAAUGCAAUAUAUUGUUUUAUAGGAAAGAAUGGAUUCGGAGCUCUAAGCCUCAACCGAUUAGCUUAAGCCUAAAAAAGGUCCAAGAAAUAAUAGAUGUGCAAAAGCCUAUAGACAAGGAUUGUUUCAAUAUGGGUGUGAGGAUGUUCACUUGCGACGAGAUCAACCUGUUAAUGGACGAACAAUAUCACUGCAUGGACCUUCAGUUCUAGUUGUUGUGUGACUUUGGAUGACAUCCAAAAUAUAAAAGGAAGCUUGAUGUCUAAUUAUUGGCAAAAACGUUUGAUACGUGGCCUGGGAUGAAGUACAAUAUUUCAC